rnacentral:rRNA from 1 species
CCCUUAGAUGUUCUGGGCUGCACGCGCGCUACACUGACAUGUCCAGCGAGCUCCCAACCUGCUCGACAAAGAAUGGGUACCCUUUUUAACGCAUGUCGUGAUGGGGAUAGAUUAUUGCAAUUGUUGAUCUUGAACGAGGAAUUCCUAGUAAGUGCAAGUCAUUAGCUUGUGCUGAAUACGUCCCUGCCCUUUGUACACACCGCCCGUCGCUCCUACCGAUUGAGUGCUCAGGUGAAUAAUUCGGACUGCAGCAAUGUUUGGAUCCCGAACGUUGCAGCGGAAAGUUUAGUGAACCUUAUCACUUAGAGGAAGGAGAAGUCGUAACA